UUUUUUUUUUCUUUUUUUAAAUGGCUGCACAUGCAGCAUAUGGAAGUUCCCAGGCUAGGGGUCGAAUCGUAGUUGCAGCUGAGAUCUACCCCACAACAACAGCAGCACCAGAUCCUUAAUCCUCUAAGCGAGGACAGGGAUACAACCUGCAUCCUCACAGACACCAUGUCGGGUUCUUAACCACUGAGCCACAAUGGGAAGUCCCCAAGUAUUAAAUGUAGUGAUAAAACUGAAUUGGAAAGUAGAUUAAGCAGAGAAUUAUAAAAGAGUAGAGAAAGGCCUCAGGCUCCUGGCUGCUUGAACAAAGCUCCUAGAUUGGUUCAUGUACUGCACUGUUACUCAUGCUGAGAUUUAUGUCACAUGGGCAUCAUUAAAGAAUCUUUUCAUCCCUGGGAUUCUUCAUCCAUAGAGCCUCAUACUUCCCCUUUAAAUAAAUUGGAACCACAGCUUUUAAAGCUGGCAAGAGAGGAGGUCUGGGCAAUGCAAGUCGAUUUCCCAGUCUGUCUUCCACACCUCUGUCUUUCUCAGGACACUCUGCUGGAAUGUUUCUAUGUCUGUGAUACUUUAAUGUGACAUAAUCUAAGUGCUCAGACAUCUACAGUGGUUUUAGGACUUGGAAGGCUGGAUGGAGGAUCGGCUUCUGCUGUUCUUGCCUCAGGAAGGGCAAGUAAAGCAGAAAGUUCACUUUCUGUUUCUAGCAGAAGUGCUGGAGAAGAAGCCAGAGGGGUUGGCAAUAGUUGGGCUACAGAAGGGCUCAUGAAAUAUCUUAGAGUUUCCAAUAUGCCUUGAUGGACUGAAGGUAAGAUAGAAAUGAUAAACACCUAUCUCAACUAAAGGUAUUCUCCUGCAGUGCAAUAACUGUUGGGGACAGUGUGUGGAUCAGGAAUCCACUGGGGCCCAGUCAAGUGCUAUGUGGAAAGACAAGGUAAGUUAGAACAUGUAGUUAUUCUAGAAUAGGGGGUUCUAAACCUUAAGUGUUCCAUGUUGUACCAAAACUCCAUGAUAGGCAUAAAUUAGCUUAUUUUUCUUUUAGUUGGUCUGAUGCAUUGGAUCUGGUUUUCAGAUUUUGAUUGAUGUGUGCAAGAGAAAGGCACAGUCAUGUCAACUACCAUACGCACACUUUAAUGAGUACCUACUCUGUGCCAGGCAACUGGGUAGCUGCUGAAAACAGGAAAUCAGAUAAAGCAUUCCUGUUUUCAUGGUGUUUGCAAUUUAGAGGGUGGGGAGGUGUGGGAGAGACCAACAAGUUACAAAGAGUUGGAUAAAUGACACAGGAAUGUGUAAGCAGGACACUUAAUCUACACUUACAGGUUAAAGUCAGCUUCUUAGUGGGGGUGGCACCUGAACUAAGUCUAAGAAGACAAACCAAUAGGUACAAUGCAGCCCUACAGCAGGUGUAUCUGGCUAAGUAAUGGUAAUAGAGUAAUGCUCAGUUUUGGGCAUUAGUUAACCUCUCAGCUUAGGACCAUUAGCAAAUGGGAUAGUAAGUCUCUAAUAUUCUCAAGGGUAGUUCUUUGCUUUGUCUCCAAGCUUCCUCUGCAUGCUACUAAUUAUAUUGUGUUAUAAUGGUGUUCAUGACUCUGUCAAAGCUGAAGACUGAGACCACUAGGGCAAAGGCAAUGUUUUAUUGCUUUUGCAUCUGCACAUAGUAGGUGCUCAGUAAUGAUUUUAUAGAUGGAUGGAUGAGUGAGAAAGAGGGCAAUUCUCUCAUUGCCAUCUAAUUUUAUCCAUUCUUAUCAUACUCUGUUGACACUGUCUCUCACAGCUCACCAAUGUUCUCUAAUUGCCAAAAUCAAUGUCCUUAUCAUCCUCGGAUUCUAAUGACACUAAUUAACAUGACCAACCACAGUUUGCCUCUCUUAAUUUUUGUCAUUCUGCAUAUCCUGAUUUUUCCACUAGCUUUCUGUUUCUUCUUUUUUCCCUCCUACUACCUGAUAAGACAUUUCCAUGAAUCUUUGGCCUCUUCUCUUGAAUUAUAUAUAUGUGUGUGUGUGUGUGAGUGUGUGUGUAUGUGUGUGUCAUGAGACAUGUUUCUACAAUAUUUUCUUAGCCUCUUUGCUGAAAACUCCAUCUUGUCCUUCUUUACUUUAUCCCAUCUUCCUGCUUUACUUUAUCCAAUUUUCCUGCUUGAAAAACAGUCACAGUGCUGGUGAAUGACUUAAGCUUAAGAACAAAGACUGUUAUGUGCCUAAAGGUCAGAGUAAAGGCUUAACCUUUUACCAGCUAAGUGGCUUUUAAAAUAGUAAAAGAACUUAUAAAAUGGUAAACAAACCCCUAUAUCCUCCACCCAUAGCCCCUCCUCACUUGAUCUUAUCUAAAGAGCACAAUGUGGUUUCUUGAGGCAGUGCUCUUGGUCCCUGAGACCUUGAGUCCACCGGUUCCCACUUUUACUGUCUCUGUGUUUUGUUUUAUGUUAACUUUUUUCCUUAAGUUCCACAGCACCCAUUCUUCAGCCCUAUCCUGCUUGAGCUGGUCUCGGCAUAUAUUCCUGUUUUCAUGGAAUUUAUAUAUAUGUGAGAGAGAUUUUCUACUUUCAAACCUCAAAUAAGCCAUCUGUUUGGAAAAUUCUUUUUUUUUUUUUUUUUUUUUCUUUUUUUAGGGCCGCUCGAGUGGCUUAUGGAGGUUCCCAGGCUAGGGGUCCAAUUGGAGCUGUAGCCAUUGGCCUAUCCCAGAGCCACAGCAAUGCAGGAUCCAAGCCGCGUCUGCAACCUAUACCACAGCUCACAACAACGCCGGAUCCUUAACCCACUGAGCAAGGCCAGGGAUCGAACUCGCAACCUCAUGGUUCCUAGUCGGAUUCGUUAACCACUGCGCCACGACGGGAACUCCUGGAAAAUUCUUAAAAUACACUUUGGUCCCUGAAUUCUUACUCUCUA
rnacentral:lncRNA from 1 species